rnacentral:lncRNA from 1 species
CUUGAAUCUUAAGUUAGUUGCACAUCAGUCAGUCAUGACACAGACAUGACAUUACAUUACACGUCGUUACUUUCAUAAGUUACUUAAAAAGUUUAACAACAGAGAUUGGAUAACAAGUUAACUGUUUUUACAUAAUUUCAGCCGAAGUUUUCAUGUACCUGGCCAACUAGUUGCUCAUGACAUUAGAAAUGAAAUGGUCUAAUCUAAUAAUGCAAGCUCACAACCUGUCUUCUGAAGCAAAAUAAUUUUUGUUGCAAGUUGUAGAUCUUCAAGAUAUUUAUGCCUUCGCCAGAUCCAAUUCUUUGCUGCUAUCUAUUUUGGGUACAACAGCGAGAAAAUGCUGCUACUCAAGAUUAUGUGGUGUUCUUAGUUCUAAUUUAGGACAAUGUUAAUCCCUCUCCACUGUUCUAGUUGCUUGGAAACCGACGAGAGAUUGGUGGAAUUGAAGACUGAUAAUUUGUGUUGAUGUAGAUAACUUACAAGUGCAUAAUCUGGGCUCCCUUCUUUUCUGUGGCCCCGUUUCCCUAACUAACACUAACCAACGCCCGCCGGUGGUCACUCACUCGCUGUGUCAACCAGGAGGAGAAAUGGCUCUGGUCGAACGGAGACUUGGAAGGCCCCUGAUCUGAUGAAAACAUUUGGAGGGUCAUGAGUCUAAACCGAAAACCUAGUAUGACUAUAUCUCUCCAGUAAAACUGGCCUCGAACUUCUCUCUUCUUCUUCUCGGACCAGAUACUAUCUCUGGUGGCCGUCGACAAUUUCAACUGCAUGUGCGAGUUUUAACAAAGCAAUGCGCAACCUAUGCGCUACCCAAUGAGACAAAAAGCGAUGUUUAAUUUUUGUCGAAUUAGAAAUUUUUAAAAAUUAGUUCUGGAAUAAGUAAAAUUUUUAACGUGUAACUGACAAAGAUUUCAGCAAAAAUAAAAUAUCGCUUUUUGUGUCGUUGGGUUUUCUUGCUCAAAUUCGCACAAAAAAAGACAAUCAAUUGGAAUCGGACGCUCUGUUUAUUGA